rnacentral:rRNA from 1 species
UACGUAGGGGGCUAGCGUUGUCCGGAUUUAUUGGGCGUAAAGAGCGUGUAGGCGGCCAGGUAGGUCUGGUGUGAAAACUCGAGGCUUAACCUCGAGAUGUCAUCGGAAACCAUCUGGCUAGAGUCCGGAAGAGGAGAGUGGAAUUCCUGGUGUAGCGGUGAAAUGCGCAGAUAUCAGGAAGAACACCAAUGGCGAAAGCAGCUCUCUGAGACGGUACUGACGCUGAGACGCGAAAGCGUGGGGAGCGAACAGG